rnacentral:rRNA from 1 species
UUAGUGGCGGACGGGUGAGUAACGCGUGGAUAACCUGCCGUAUACCGGGGAUAACACUUAGAAAUAGGUGCUAAUACCGCAUAAGCGCACGGCUCCGCAUGGGGCAGUGUGAAAAAUUCCGGUGGUAUACGAUGGAUCCGCGUCUGAUUAGCUAGUUGGCGGGGUAACGGCCCACCAAGGCAGCGAUCAGUAGCCGGCCUGAGAGGGUGGACGGCCACAUUGGGACUGAGACACGGCCCAAACUCCUACGGGAGGCAGCAG